GGAAGUAAAAAGUCGUAACAAGGUUUCCGUAGGUGAACCUGCGGAAGGAUCAUUAUUGAAAAACUACUCUUAGUUUUUUAUAUCCCAUUGUAUUAUUCACCCUGUUGCUUCUACUGGACUGUUUUACUUGUAGGUAAGAUUUACCUCUAGGUAAAACCUCGGGCUUGUGUGAACCACACUUGCCAGAGAGCUGCCAGUAGCAAGACCAAUUGCUAAAACUUUGUUGUGAAAUAUAUUGUCUGAAUUUUGUGUCUUGAAAAUGAAAUAAAACUUUCAACAACGGAUCUCUAGGCUCUUGCAUCGAUGAAGAACGCAGUGAAAUGCGAUAAGUAAUGUGAAUUGCAGAAUCUCGUGAAUCAUUGAAUCUUUGAACGCACAUUGCGCCCUAUGGUAUUCCAUAGGGCAUACCUGUUUGAGCGUUAGCUCCCCACCCUUCUCAAGCAUUAUUUUAUAAUGUUUGGAUUUAUUUGGAGAGGCACCUCUGUCAUGGAGGUACCCUUCAGAAAUGAAUAUGGCAGUAUAGUUUAUAUCUGAACUAGGCGUAAUAAUAAUAAAGUCGCUGAGUUUAAUCAUAUUUAUACUUGCCUGAACCCACCCAUUGUUAAAUCGGGUAACCUCAAAUCAGGUAGGGAUACCCGCUGAACUUAAGCAUAUCAAUAAGCGGAGGAA
rnacentral:rRNA from 1 species